rnacentral:rRNA from 3 species
UGCAGAAUCCCGUGAACCAUCGAGUUUUUGAACGCAAGUUGCGCCCGAAGCCUUCUGGUUGAGGGCACGUCUGCCUGGGCGUCACGC